rnacentral:rRNA from 1 species
UAGAUACCCUGGUAGUCCAUGCUGUAAACGGUGGGCGUUAGGUGUGGGGACCGGUUUGGUUUCUGUGCCGUAGCUAACGCAUUAAGCGCCCCGCCUGGGGAGUACGGCCGCAAGGCUAAAACUCAAAGGAAUUGACGGGGGCCCGCACAAGCGGCGGAGCAUGUGGAUUAAUUCGAUGCAACGCGAAGAACCUUACCUGGGUUUGACAUGCACCAGACGGUUGUAGAGAUACGUACCUCCCUUUGUGGUU